GCAAGGAGGGAAGCAGCAAAGGAAUGCACACAAAGGAGGGAAGCAGCAAAGGAAUGCAUACAAAGGAGGGAAGCAGCAGAGGAAUGCUCUGCCACCGUCCGUGAUCCCAAUGCUCUGCCACCGUCCGUGAUUCCUAUGCUCUGCCACCGUCCGUGAUCCCAAUGCUCUGCCACCGUCCGUGAUUUCAAUGCUCUGCCACCGUCCGUGAUCCCAAUGCUCUGCCACCGUCCAUGAUUCCUAUGCUCUGCCGUGACUUCAAUGCUCGGGCAUGACUUCAAUGCUCUGCUAUGAUUUCAAUGCCCCACCGUGAUUUCACUGCUUUGCCGUGAUUUUAAUGCUCUGUCGUGAUUUCACUGUUCUGCUUUGAUUUCAAUGCUCCGCUGUGAUUUCACUGCUCUGCCAUGAUUCCAAUGCUCUGCCGUGAUUUCAAUGCUCUGCCGUGAUUCCAAUGCUCUUCGCUACUCUGUGGCUGCUCUACCCUACUCUACGGGAUGCUCUGCUCUACUCUACGGGAUGCUCUGCUCUACUCUACGGGCUACACUAUUUUGCGCCUCUGCUCUAUGGGUUGCUUUGAUCUAUUCUAAUCGCUGCUCAGCGAGAAAUAAGCCGCCUUUUGGCGUGCUACUGUCAU
rnacentral:lncRNA from 1 species